rnacentral:rRNA from 1 species
GUAGUUAGCCGGGGCUUCCUCACAGGGUACCGUCACUUCUUCGUCCCCUGCGACAGAGGUUUACAAUCCGAAAACCUUCUUCCCUCACGCGGCGUUGCUGGGUCAGGCUUGCGCCCAUUGCCCAAUAUUCCCCACUGCUGCCUCCCGUAGGAGUCUGGACCGUGUCUCAGUUCCAGUGUGGCCGAUCAGCCUCUCAGCUCGGCUACCCAUCGUCGGCUUGGUGGGCUGUUAUCUCACCAACUACCUAAUGGGACGCGAACCCCUCUUACAGCGAUAAAUCUUUGACCUCAUCCCGAUGCCGGGUCGUGGUCUCAUGCGGUAUUAGCACCUGUUUCCAAGUGUUAUCCCCCUCUGUAAGGCAGGUUGUUCACGCGUUACUCACCCGUUCGCCACUAGAAUUAUAAAUUCCAUCCGAAAACUUCCUUCAUAAUCCCCGUUCGACUUGCAUGUGUUAGGCACGCCGCCAGCGUUCGUCCUGAGCCAGAAUCGAACCCUGA